UAUUUAACUUACAAUUUUUUUUUUUUAGGAUGGCAGUACAGCAGAUCAUUCAAUACAUGCUGAGACAUGAAUUCACAUUUCUACCACUAUGCUAAAUAUCAACAUCCUACGUUGAAAAUGUACUAGACGAUACUGCUAAUAAUAAUGGUUUUGUGCAACGUGAGUGUAAUGGAUGGCAGUACAGCAGAUCACUCAAUACAUGCUGAGACAUGAAUUCACAUUUCUACCACUAUGCAAAAUAUCAACAUCCUACGUUGAAAAUGUACUAGACGAUACUGCUAAUAAUAAGGGUUUUGUGCAACGUGCGUGUAAUGGAUGGCAGUACAGCAGAUCACUCAAUACAUGCUGAGACAUGAAUUCACAUUUCUACCACUAUGCAAAAUAUCAACAUCCUACGUUGAAAAUGUACUAGACGAUACUGCUAAUAAUAAGGGUUUUGUGCAACGUGCGUGUAAUGGAUGGCAGUACAGCAGAUCACUCAAUACAUGCUGAGACAUGAAUUCACAUUUCUACCACUAUGCAAAAUAUCAACAUCCUACGUUGAAAAUGUACUAGACGAUACUGCUAAUAAUAAGGGUUUUGUGCAACGUGCGUGUAAUGGAUGGCAGUACAGCAGAUCACUCAAUACAUGCUGAGACAUGAAUUCACAUUUCUACCACUAUGCAAAAUAUCAACAUCCUACGUUGAAAAUGUACUAGACGAUACUGCUAAUAAUAAGGGUUUUGUGCAACGUGCGUGUAAUGGAUGGCAGUACAGCAGAUCACUCAAUACAUGCUGAGACAUGAAUUCACAUUUCUACCACUAUGCAAAAUAUCAACAUCCUACGUUGAAAAUGUACUAGACGAUACUGCUAAUAAUAAGGGUUUUGUGCAACGUGCGUGUAAUGGAUGGCAGUACAGCAGAUCAUUCAAUACAUGCUGAGACAUGAAUUCACAUUUCUACCACUAUGCUAAAUAUCAACAUCCUACGUUGAAAAUGUACUAGACGAUACUGCUAAUAAUAAUGGUUUUGUGCAACGUGAGUGUAAUGGAUGGCAGUACAGCAGAUCACUCAAUACAUGCUGAGACAUGAAUUCACAUUUCUACCACUAUGCAAAAUAUCAACAUCCUACGUUGAAAAUGUACUAGACGAUACUGCUAAUAAUAAGGGUUUUGUGCAACGUGCGUGUAAUGGAUGGCAGUACAGCAGAUCACUCGAGGCAUGCUGAGACCAUGAAUUCACAUUUCUAUCACUUGGGAAAGUUACAACAUCUUCCGUUGUAAAUGGAAUAGAAGAUGGCAGUAUAUCAGAUCAAUCAAGGCACGCUGAGACACGAAUUCACAUUUCUACCACCAAGGAAAGUAUCAACAUCCUAUGUUGAAAAUGGACUAGAAGAUACUGAUAAUAAUAUUGGAUUUAUGCAAUGUGCGUGCAAUGGUUAUUGAAUAUAAUUGAUACUAAAUUAAUACCUGUGAAACAAUUGAGAUUUGUUAAAUAUCUGAAUAAAAUAAUAGUAAACACCUUUA